rnacentral:tRNA from 1 species
AUAGCUCAGUGGUGGAGUGCUUGCCUAGCAUGCAGGAGGCCCUGGGUUCAAUGCCCAGU